rnacentral:lncRNA from 1 species
CCCCCCGGAGAGGGGCUCUGGGAGCCAGGAGGUGCUGGGAAAGGUGCUGGAUGGGAACAAAAGGCGCGUGGAGGGGACGAGCAGAGCCGCAGGCUUUCUGCUGACCCUGCUCCCACUGUCCCAGCCCCGGCCUCCCCCCGCGGCCCCCACCCGCUCCUGCCGACAUCAGCGCUUCCCGGCAGUGCUCCCAGGUAGAGGAGGUGGCCGGGAGGUGGAAAAGCCAUUUCUGCCUCUCCCCUGGCACUUACACCUCCGCCAGCCUCGGCACAGCCUCCUGGGGCUGGGUGGCUGCUCGUGCCUUGUCCCCAAGUGUCACCACGGGGCCACGAGCCCUUUUCCUGUGCGACGGAGCCAUGACGAGGUACGGAGCAUGGCAUGGGUUGGGUGGUGGCCACGGCGUGGGUGCUGUGUCCCCCUCCGCCUGUGCCCGCACCCUGCUGCGCUCCCCAGGGGUACCCAUGGGGCUGGUGGCCGGGGAUGGAGGUGGCCAAGGAUGGAGGUGGCCAAGGAUGGAGGUGGCCGGGGAUGGAGAUGGCUGGGAAUGGAGAUGUCCAGAGAUGGAGGUGGCCAAGGAUGGAGGUGGCCAAGGAUGGAGGUGGCCAAGGAUGGAGGUGGCCAGGGAUNCGGGGAUGGAGAUGGCCGGGGAUGGAAGUGGCCAAGGAUGGAGGUGGCCAAGGAUGGAGAUGGCCGGGGAUGGAGAUGGCCGGGGAUGGAAGUGGCCAAGGAUGGAGAUGGCCGGGGAUGGAGAUGGCUGGGAAUGGAGGUGGCCAGGGAUGGAGGUGGCUGAGGAUGGAGGUGUCCAGAGAUGGAGGUGGCUGGGGAUGGAGGUGGCCCUGCCCUGGUGUCCCUGGCACUGCCGGCGUUUGCCUCCAUGCUCCUGCUUGGCCAAGUGCUGUCACAACCGCAGGCAACGGGGACACAACCAGAGCCCAUGGGGCAAGGAGAGGGGCUGCCCGGGCUCACCCCAUGGACCAUGGUCACCGACUGGGAUGCACUGGAGCCCCAGUAUCAACCCUGGGGGAAGGCGGGGUGUGGGGAUCAUUAAGGUGACUUCCCCGGGGCCACACGAGCGGGGUGGUGACAGAGGUGGGACAGCCCCAUGGUGCUGGGCACCAGCUCCCUGGGUGCCUCCCCCCCCCCCCCCCCAACUUUCCCAGCCCCUCCGCAGCGUGCCCGCCGCCGGCUGCCCAAGGGUUAACGAGAGUUUGCUGCUCCUGCAGACAAUUAGUGACAUCUUUGCUGACAACGCCAC